GACGUAGGAUGCAAGCGUUGUCCGGAUUUAUUGGGCGUAAAGAGUUCGUAGGUGGUUUGUUAAGUCUGAUGUUAAAGACUGGGGCUCAACCUCGGGACUGCAUUGGAUACUGGCAGGCUAGAGUGCGGUAGAGGAUGGCGGAAUUCCCGGUGUAGCGGUGAAAUGCGUAGAUAUCGUAAGGAAGACCAGUGGCGAAGGCGGGUCUCUGGACAGUUUCUGACGCUGAGGCACGAAGGUCAGGGGAGCAAACGGG
rnacentral:rRNA from 1 species